CAUCGCUUCCGGCUGCCAUUUUUAGGUGAACGUCUGAAGUUAGAGCUGAAAUAUCUGUUAAUGUCCGGGUAUUAUAUAUAAAGUUUUAUGCUGGACAGAAGACUGCGGAGUUUUGAAAUGUCUUUAAAAGAGCGAAAUGCGAAAACCCUGAUGCCAACAGCAAGUACAGUGACCUUGAGAGGUGGGAAUGAGUGGGAGAUUAAGAUGAAUACCUAUGAAAAGACAAGGCAACCCUUGGUGUUCGAUACAGAAGCGUCAGUUAUGCCACAUCUCCACAAUUUGGUGGGAUGAAAGAGGACUACAUGAACAGAAAACCUACUACUGAAAACGGAGACACUGAAAUGUUCUGGGGUUUUUUCUGGACUUUCCAUCAUAUUAUGUCAUUGUCAGCCUGUGUACAGUGAGCCUUUAGUUUAUAUAAUGUGACAAAAGUUUUCAUUAAAAUAACAAGCAAGCCCUAAGUGUGUUAUUGUUAUGUUAAGAGUUUUAUCACUGACAUUUAUGAAUAGCUGUUGAGACAACUGUAAUACAAAAGGGCUUAGUCAGAAAGUUUACUUUGACUAUGCAAAUCACAGUGGUUCAAUAAAGUGGUUAUCAUUUUUUAU